rnacentral:rRNA from 1 species
AACGAACGCUGGCGGCAUGCCUAACACAUGCAAGUCGAACGAGACCUUCGGGUCUAGUGGCGCACGGGUGCGUAACGCGUGGGAACCUGCCCUUAGGUUCGGAAUAACUCCCCGAAAGGGGUGCUAAUACCGGAUAAUGUCUUCGGACCAAAGAUUUAUCGCCUUUGGAUGGGCCCGCGUUGGAUUAGCUAGUUGGUAGGGUAAAAGCCUACCAAGGCGACGAUCCAUAGCUGGUCUGAGAGGAUGAUCAGCCACACUGGGACUGAGACACGGCCCAGACUCCUACGGGAGGCAGCAGUGGGGAAUAUUGGACAAUGGGCGAAAGUCUGACACAGCAAUGCCGCGUGAGUGAUGAAGGCCUUAGGGUUGUAAAGCUCUUUUACCCGGGAUGAUAAUGACAGUACCGGGAGAAUAAGCGCCGGCUAACUCCGUG